rnacentral:rRNA from 1 species
UACCAUACUAAAGCAUUCGCCUGAGAACUACGAGCACAAACGCUUAAAACUCUAAGGACUUGGCGGUGCCACAAACCCACCUAGAGGAGCCUGUCCUGUAAUCGACAACCCACGAUACACCCGACCACUUCUUGCCAAAACCAGCCUACAUACCGCCGUCGCCAGCUCACCUCCCUUGAGAGCACAACAGUGAGCACAAUUGCCCUAACCACGCCAAUAAGACAGGUCAAGGUAUAGCCCAUGAAGUGGAAGAGAUGGGCUACAUUUUCUAACCUAGAAAACCCCUACUUCAAUACAACGGAAAGGAGUAUGAAACAACUCCUAGAAGGCGGAUUUAGCAGUAAAGCGGGAUAACAUACGCCCUCUUUAAACCGGCUCUGAGGCACGUACAUACCGCCCGUCACCCUCCUCACAAGCUUCAACCCAUCAUAAAUAAUUAAACCCCCUUGCCAAAGAUGAGGUAAGUCGUAACAAGGUAAGUGUACCGGAAGGU